UACGUAGGGGGCAAGCGUUGUCCGGAUUUACUGGGCGUAAAGAGCGUGUAGGCGGCCAAGCAGGUCCGUUGUGAAAACUGGAGGCUUAACCUCCAGACGUCGACGGAAACCGCGUGGCUAGAGCCCGGAAGAGGAGAGUGGAAUUCCUGGUGUAGCGGUGAAAUGCGCAGAUAUCAGGAAGAACACCAAUGGCGAAGGCAGCUCUCUGGGACGGUACUGACGCUGAGACGCGAAAGCGUGGGGAGCGAACAGG
rnacentral:rRNA from 1 species